rnacentral:rRNA from 1 species
AUUCCAGCUCCAAUAGCGUAUAUUAAAGUUGUUGCGGUUAAAAAGCUCGUAGUUGGAGUUCUGCCAGGUGCCACCUGUCCGCCCCAGUGGUGAGUACGUGGUGCGCAUUUGGCCCUUUCAAGGGGAGCGUAUUUGCACUUAAUUGUGUGGUGCGGGAUCCUUGACUUUUACUUUGAGGAAAUAAGAGUGUUCCAAGCAGGCUCUCGUCGUGCAUAGCUCAGCAUGGAAUAAUAGCAUUGGACCUCGAUUCUAAGCUGUUGGUUGCCAGAAGCGAGGUAAUGAUGAAGAGGGAUAGUUGGGGGCAUUCGUAUUUAACUGUCAGAGGUGAAAUUCUUGGAUUUAUGAAAGAUGAACUCAUGCGAAAGCAUUUACCAAGGAUGUUUUCAUCG